rnacentral:lncRNA from 1 species
GCCUCACCACUGACAUGAACAUCAGAUAACCAGUCGCUGAUUAAACUGGCUUGCCUGAUCCAUGUAUUCUUAUGAUUGACCCUGUGGUCUUCAAAUGCUUCUGAGCAAAUCACCUGAACCUGAUUUAAGAGGUUAGAGUGUUUUUAUGUGCUUUGCUGUUCUCUCUCUGCGUGCGUCUUAAAAUGUUUUUUUUUUAUGUCUUUGUCUAUGUUUACUAUGUGUGCGUGUCAGUGAUAUGUCUGUGUGUUUGUUGUUGCAGUGUUGUCUUUACUGUGCCUGUGUUGUAAGUAGUGUGGUAAUUUCCCACCUCCUCUCCCCCACUCCACACCCCUAGAACGUUCCAAUGGGAUCCCCUUCUUUUAUGGGGUCUUACCAAGGAUUCAGCAUGGGCGGGGCGGCCGGCGCUGGAGCUCCCAUGAUGCCCAUGGUUAGGCCAGGCUUUGGAGCCCCUGCAGCCCCAGGAGCACCGAUGGGAUCUCCAGGGAUGGCCGGGAGCCCGAGGAGGCCUCCGCCCCCCAAGAAUGCCCUGGAUGACCUCAACAUCAAGGACUUCAUGUAAACCCCUCUAACCCAUCCCUCUGAGAGGUUGUUGUUAUGUCUGGAGCUGUGGAUGUGGAUGUGUGCACCCCCGUCUCCCUCCUGUCACGCCCCAGCCCCUUCAGCCAAUCAACCAUCAGCACUACGACCCCUGUCCUCUGACUUCCCCGUAACCUCUGUCUGCUGUUGUAACAAAAGCUGUGGAUGUGAAUCAUAGACACAGAAAACUAAACUGUGUAUGAGUGUGUGUGUACUUCAAUGUUAUCCUUUACCUAAACUAAGAAAAAAAUGUACCAUAAAAAAUGAUAGUGUAUUUAGAUUUGUUCUGGAACUCCCACGUGUCAGCUGACUUGGAAUGGUGGAUCUGUGUUGAUUUUCUUGCGCGUUUCCCAGACGAGGAUUGUGUUGUUAACCGUGGACUGUGUUCGGUGUGUGUAAACCUCACUGGCCAAUCCCUGCCCUAUCCUGUCCCUCGCUAUCCAAUCAAAUUCUGUAUAUUGCUGUCUUUGUAACAUCAUUCAACACUUAGUUGUACUCCUCUCCAUUAAUUGAGCCACCCAGCCUCUUUGAGAACAGAUGCAGUAAUAUUGAAAUAUGUACAACUGUCACCACAAAUCUGGGUUUACGAGAUGACAAAUCAUACGACAAAAUGUUUUGUUUUUAUUUUGUCUAUUUUUUUGAUUGUGUGUUACAUGCAACAUUUGUG